CUGAGCGAAAAGGGGGAAGGUUUCCGUCUUUUGCAAGGGAUGUUUUUUUUACCUGGCCGGAAGAAAAACGGACCUGUGGGACGGUGGUUUCCUUUCUCUUUUUUUACCCGAGUAAUGAUUGGCUUGGAGGCAUGGUUGGCACAGGUCUGUCCUGUGUUUACCCGAAAGGGGUAACCUGACAAAGGAUUACAGUUGUAUAAGGCAUUCCUGGUUGCGUUGACUGCAAAAAUCACAUCCUCUGAUUAAAUGGAGUUUACUCCGAAGUGAGCGGACGGAGGAUUGUAUCUGAUGGGGCACAAUGGCUUUUUCUGUAGCCUCUUAGUCUUCCCAGUGGAAAGGGGAUUUGCCAGGACUGACAAGACUGGCCUGGAGUCACCUGGUGAGCUUCAGGGACUGAGGCUUGACUUGGGCCUGAGUCUCCCUAGUUCCUAACCAAUGCCAUGGUGAAUCAGCUGUUACCUCUUUUCAAACCAACAGAAGCCCUACCGAGAAGCUUCCUAGGAUAAAGCACCAAUUAGAAAUUCCUUUGGAGGGAGAACUCAAAGGCUGCUUUUCCUCACACAGAAAAAUGCACGGAACAAGAAAAAGCUGGAUUGUCACCAAAGGAGGCAAAAUGUCUGCUGUAAAUAAACUAAGAGCCUUAUUACUAAAUCUGUAUUUUAGUAACUGGACCCUGAAACAAAAAGAUGGAAAUACAGUUUUGUUUCCUUGUAAAAUGAAAUAAAGAUGUUUUGUUUGUGGGCAACAAA